ACAAAUUUCUGGGAACUUGCCUUUUUGCAGUAAAAUUCUAUGCAAGUAAAGUGUAGAGAUGCCUUUAUCGAUUAAUUGCGCGUCAAAGCUAACCUGCAGCCCUGUGCAAUUAGAGGAGCUGUCGGUAAACUGUCAACCUUCAGUCACACGAGUGUCAUGCAUUAUUCAGGCCGAUAAGCCCAAGAACCGUUCGAUUUCCAGUCAACAAGUAUUUGCCAAUAUGUUUUUAAUUCGCCGCGGUGCAAGUUGGUCAAGCUGCCAAGCUGUUGGCAAAACCGAAUUCAAGGAUGUCGACUUCUUGUAGAACACAGUUGGGGGUGAUAAUGCACAAAGAGUCCUUUUUUACUUACUAUGCAGUCAGUUCAACAAAAUUUUAAUUUUAGUCCUAUAAGGAAAAAGCAACACCCCAGUUAAUCCCAUUUCAAAACAAAAACAUCCGCAAUCGCCUACCCCAACAAGGCCAUUAAAUGUGCCAGCGGUGACCCACUUUCACUGGCCAGAGAAUGUGAACAGCUGUCAGGCAUUGUGAAAUAUUGGGCAACCCUUGAGACAGGCCCAGCACCGAUAAACCAAGAGACAGUGGACAGAAGACAGGGGCCACCAACGCCUCCCAUCGCUCAUCCGACUGAAAGCGAAACAAAAGACGGCAACCGGCAAACAUGGGGAAUACUUCCGAUCCAGGACCGCGAUCCCGAUGUGGACUGAAAGUGCGAUCGCCCACACUUUCGGAAUAAGACAAAAGAACAGCUUGCCGGGCGAUGAUUAACUCGAUUCGGUUCCUAAAUCUUUAUCUAACAAGAUAUGACUCCAGAUGGCUUUGCAUUGUUAAAUUAAUCAUACGCAGUUUAUAAAAACUGUAUCACAUAUCUCUUGUUUCUGAAUUAAGUAUAUACUGGUUACUGUUAUCCCCGUAAUUGGCUAUUGUUGGUAAAACAAAUACUGGAAAACUGGGAAUAAAGCGGAAAAUUACCUAAAAGAUAUCCACAGAAGCGAGCCUCAUUUGCCCAUUAGUCACCAAGAGUGGCACAAUAAUGCAAAACGAUUUUCGCCAACCGAGUGGUUAUCCCCGCCCACCGGCGAUCGCUUCCCGCUCCUGUUGCGAAAAUGUGCGGACAUUAAAUUGACAACUGAGUCGCUUUCUGGGGCCGCUUAUGUCUGAUUUCUGAUGGCUGCUGAUGACUGGAUGGCGGAAA